CUGCAGCUGAUUAAGCCAACCAAGUUCCUUUCCUCCUGGGGGCCUGAGUACAACAGGUGCAAACAGCAGCAUCCUUGGUAGUGUGUGCCGCCUGUUUGCCACGUGGGUUUUGCUACAAUUUUAUGUUGAAUAUU